rnacentral:rRNA from 1 species
AGAGGGUGCAAGCGUUAAUCGGAGUUACUGGGCGUAAAGGGCGCGUAGGCUGAUAUUUUAGUCGGAUGUGAAAUCCCUGGGCUUAACCUAGGAAUUGCAUUCGAUACUGAAUGUCUUGAGUAUGGUAGAGGAAAGUGGAAUUCUCGGUGUAGUGGUUAAAUACGUAGAUAUCGAGAAGAACAUCGGUGGCGAAGGCGACUUUCUGGGCCAAUACUGACGCUGAGGCGCGAAAGCGUGGGGAGCAAACAGGGAUUAGAUACCCUGGUAGUCCACGCUGUAAACGAUGAGAACUAGAUGUUGCGCAGUUAUUACUGUGCAGUAUCGCAGCUAACGCAUUAAGUUCUCCGCCUGGGGAGUACGGUCGCAAGAUUA